AGCUCGGAGAAGCCCUGGCUUUGAAACAAGAAUGUACUUCUGUCUCGGCACAUGAAUUCCAUAAAUUCUCCUUUCCUACCUUGAUCGUCUUCAUCGCCAACGUUUCUCUGUACCUUACUGUCCUUCUCCACCUCUGAACCCUUCGCUUCUCGGGAGCAAGUACCCCUACUGAGUCGAUACCUUAAAGGAUUCAUAAAUGCUUUUCGGUAGAACAGAGACAAUCAAAACGAUGAAGCGCGGCGCGUGGAGUUGAAGGUCAAGUAUUUCCGAUGACUUAAAGAUGCCCACGCUGCCGGCGCUGAGCGUUUUGAAGUAGAUCAUGGCUCCGGCGAGCAGGACUGAAGUCCAUGGCUAGUUUGGAUUUGGAACGAGGGACGGAGACUUAAGGUAAGGUUUCUGAUGUCGUUGAAGUGAUUGGUAGGAAUGUGUUGCAGACAUCAUCAGUUUUGACAAUAGGGCUUGUGUCCCACAGCUGGCUGAUUUGGUACUGUUGGAUAUGGAGAACAAGCUGCGGACAUAACGCAUGAAGGGCUUGGCGCUGCAGGGCAUGCAUUAGGAACUGCUUUGGCUGUCUUUAGAUUCGUAAAGCACUCAAUCCUAAGAAUUCUGUUAAAUCGAAGACUUUGGCGAAAUCAUUUGCCAAAUCAGCUGUUGCUGAGAUGAAGGCUAAUAAGCAAGUGAAUAAAUGACGGUUUCUUUUUGGUUUUUGCCCUUACAACCUGCAAAGCUACUGCAUGCAAAGAGAUUGGCUAAUAUUAAAGUUUGGGUGCUUUGUACAGCUUUGGGUUUCUUUCUUUGUUAUUUGGUAUGUAUUGCAUCUGGAUUGCAGUUGUUUAUCCAGCUUGAAAGCUCCAGUCAUAAAAUUGUGAAGUUUCUUUGUAGUUUGUAAAGUUGUUAAUGGCAUUUCUUUUAUAAACAUUUGCGAGAAAUGGAGAAUUUCUUAUAAUGGGAGAUG